AAAACAUCUUCCAUUCUCUCUCCCCAAAACUGAAACCUAGUCUCUCUCUACUCUUCAUUGCUGCAAUUUUUUUCUCUCCAAGAGCCAAGAUCACUCAUUCCCCCAUUGAAGGAGGGAGAAGCUCAAGAGCACACUAGGGAAGAGGUUCAAGAGAGGCUUGUACGGGUAGUACCUCAAGGAGUUAACACUUUGGUGAUCUAGUGGAAGCAAGGUUUUGAGAUUUUAUAGCACUAAGGAAAGGUGUUGAAGAGCUAAGGAACAUAUCUCCAAGCUAGGGCUUCGAAAGUAACCGCGAAAAGGAAAAUGAACAGCGGUGUUAAAGAUCCAGCUAGGAGUUAAGGACUCCAAGUAAGUGCAAAAGUAAAGUGGAGCAACGAGCGCUGGAGUCUGCUUGUGGAUAUGUACAUGUGGCUUGACCUGGGGAGGUUUUUGAUGGAUCACCAUUUGAAAAGAAAAAGCUAGAAGUUUGUUAUUUCUUUUGGGAUAAUUGUUUUGUUAUAACUCUGUGGAAGAGAAGUUGUAUUUCUGUUUGCUAAACUAAAAGUGUGCGCACACGACUUUUUAAAAGUUUUUUUUAUGGAUUUUUGGUACAAUAAUUUAAAGUAAAAGUUUAGAUUUCUCCAUUUUUUGGUCUUGUGUGUUUUGAGGGUCGUUACAAUGUUGAGGAAGUUUGUCAAAGACCCCAUCCAUGUACUUAGCUACGAGCAGCUAGAUGUGGAUCCAAAGAUAUGUUACUAGGAGAAGCCAAUAAAAGUUUUGGAAAAGAUAAGGUGUUACGAAACAAAACUAUGCCACUGGUCAAGAUACAGUGGUGUAACCACAGGGUUGAAGAAGCAACUUGAGAACCCGAGGAUAAGAUGUGUGAGUUGUACCGUCAAUUGUUUUGAGCUUCUAGGAUGAAACUUAUAUAAAUUGUAGGUGUUGUAACGCCCCGUUUUUGGGCUCUAUCUGUUUACGUACCCAUAUUAUGUGAAUAAUAGUUGGAAGGUUAUUUUAUGUAUUUUUAUGUGGGAACCUAGUUCUUGUAUGUUAAA